CCAGCCGCUCAGGACGGUGGGAUACCGGCGGGGCAGCAACACUGAGGCGGGUGGGAACUCGAAAGCUGGUGCUUCCUGGCGCUGAACUGCUGAGAGAGAGUUGGCUGCCGUCAGCUUCUGCAGGCCGGGCCUGGCUUCCUGAGAAUCUAAGGCGUAAGAAUUGGGGGGGGGGUUAGAAAGCGGGCUGCGGACCCCCUUCCUGAGGCUUUGGUUUGAGCCCUGGCUCAGGCCUUGCUUGUGUUUCCCCACGAGGACGGCUUCUCAGUCUUUCCUGAAGUUGGUGGGGUUUGGACAUUGUUGUUCUUAGUAGUAGUAGUAUUCGUAGUAGUAGUGGUGUUAUUAUUGUUAUUAUUAUUUUGAGGGUCCACUGUGUAUAAGUAUUGGUGCUUCUGCUCAGGGGGCCGUGCAAAACGCCAUGAGUUAGAAGCUGGGGGAAGGAGGGCUUAGAGAUGCUUGAGGUACGUUCUUAAGAAAUAUUGGAGGUUGAGGUGAAAAAUCUGGCUUUGAUAUCUUCAUGGAAGACUGCGUUAUUUCAAUCCUGAAUCUGGUUCAGUUCCCUUACUGACUUAUUACUAUAUUUAAAAAAAAGUUUGUUUAAUUAA